CCCCACAGCUAAGGUCCCGAAAUAUGUUUAAGUGGAAAAGGAUGUGGAGCUGCAUAGACAACCAGGAUGUUGGCUUAGAAGCAGCCACUCAUUAAAAGAGUGCGUAAUAGCUCACUGGUCGAGUGGCUCUGCGCCGAAAAUUCAACGGGGCUAAAACAUAUACCGAAGCUUGGGCUUGACAGUAAUGUCAGGGGUAGGGGAGCGUUGUGUAAGGGGUGAAGUCAUAGCGAAAGCGGUGGUGGACUUUACACAAGUGAGAUUGCCGGAAUGAGUAGCGAGAAUUAUGUGAGAAUCAUAAUGCCCGAAAAUCUAAGGUUUCAGAAGGAAGGUUCGUCCGCUUCUGGUAAGCCGGGAGCUAAGGCGAGGCCGAAAGGCGUAGCCGAUGCACAUACGGUAGAAAUUCCGUAGCCUCUAUCAAUUUAAGCACAGGGACACUUUUGAAGGGUUCAGCCGGGCGAUGGUUGCCCCGGUCGUAAGGGACUGCAAAUGAGCGGGAAGUGAAUUUGGAAGAAGGCGAGAAAAGCUGUGUGAAUAGAAGAUAGAGCCCGUACCGCAAACCGACACAGGUAGAUAGGAAGAAGAUUCUAAGGCCAACGGGAGAAGGGUUGUUAAGGAACUCGGCAAGUUGACCCCGUAACUUAGGGAGAAGGGGUGCUCUUUAAGGAGAGCCGCAGAGAAUAGGCCCAAGCGACUGUUUAGCAAAAACACAGCUCUAUGCUAAAUCGAAAGAUGACGUAUAUGGGGUGACACCUGCCCGGUGCCGGAAGGUUAAGAGGAGGAGUGAGAGCUCUGAAUUGAAGCCCCGGUAAACGGCGGCCGUGACGAUAACGGUCCUAAGGUAGCGAAAUUCCUUGUCAGGUAAGUUCUGACCCGCACGAAUGGUGUAACGAUUUGGGCACUGUCUCAACAACCUGCCCGGCGAAAUUGUAGUACCGGUGAAGAUGCCGGUUACCCGCGACUAGACGGAAAGACCCCAUGGAGCUUUACUGCAGCUUAAUAUUGAAUUUCGGUAUUUCAUGUACAGGAUAGGUGGGAGACAGGGAACCAUAGGCGUCAGCUUAUGGGGAGUCGACCUUGGGAUACCACUCUUGAGGUGCUGGAAUUCUAACCUGUGGCUCUGAAUCGAGUCAGGGGACAUUGUUAGGCGGGCAGUUUGACUGGGGCGGUCGCCUCCAAAAAGGUAACGGAGGCGCUCAAAGGUUCGCUCAGCAUGGAUGGAAACCAUGCUUUUGAGUGUAAACGCAAAAGCGAGCCUAACUGCGAGACUGACGGGUCGGGCAGUAACGAAAGUUGGAGUUAGUGAUCCGGCGGUAUGUGAGUGGAAAUGCCGUCGCUCAACGGAUAAAAGCUACCCUGGGGAUAACAGGCUGAUCUCCCCCAAGAGUCCACAUCGACGGGGAGGUUUGGCACCUCGAUGUCGGCUCAUCGCAUCCUGGGGCUGAAUUCGGUCCCAAGGGUUUGGCUGUUCGCCAAUUAAAGCGGUACGCGAGCUGGGUUCAGAACGUCGUGAGACAGUUCGGUCCCUAUCUGUCGUGGGCGUAGGAUAUUUGAAAGGAGCUGUCCCUAGUACGAGAGGACCGGGAUGGACGCACCGCUGGUGCACCAGUUGUCAUGCCAAUGGCACAGCUGGGCAGCUAUGUGCGGAACGGAUAAACGCUGAAGGCAUCUAAGCGUGAAGCCGACCUUAAGAUAAGAUAUCCCUUCGUAAGAGUAAGACCUCUCAUAGACUAUGAGUUUGAUAGGCCUAAGGUGUAAGCACAGUGAUGUGUUCAGCCUGCAGGUACUAAUCGGUCGAGGGCUUUCCAA
rnacentral:rRNA from 1 species